ACGAACGCUGGCGGCGUGCCUAAUACAUGCCAGUAGAACGCUGAAGGAGGAGCUUGCUUCUCUGGAUGAGUUGCGAACGGGUGAGUAACGCGUAGGUAACCUGCCUGUUAGCGGGGGAUAACUAUUGGAAACGAUAGCUAAUACCGCAUAAGAGUAGAUGUCGCAUGACAUUUGCUUAAAAGGUGCAAUUGCAUCACUACCAGAUGGACCUGCGUUGUAUUAGCUAGUUGGUGAGGUAACGGCUCACCAAGGCAACGAUACAUAGUCGACCUGAGAGGGGGGUCGGCCACACUGGGACUGAGACACGGCCCAGACUCCUACGGGAGGCAGCAGUAGGGAAUCUUCGGCAAUGGACGGAAGUCUGACCGAGCAACGCCGCGUGAGUGAAGAAGGGUUUCGGAUCGUAAAGCUCUGUUGUAAGAGAAGAACGAGUGUGAGAGUGGAAAGUUCACACUGUGACGGUAGCUUACCAGAAAGGGACGGCUAACUACGUG
rnacentral:rRNA from 1 species